rnacentral:misc_RNA from 1 species
UCGUACAAAAUGUGUGGGACAUGCGAGGGCUGUCGCUGACCUCAAAGGUCGUGCACGCCCGGAGCAUGUCCUCUCACAUAACACAAUCCAUCUCACCCUUUGUGCACCACCGCGUGGGCCCCCUUUGGGGGGCUCGCGUUUUCACACAAAACCCCCCCUUUAAAAGUGUAGAAUGACCUCAUUUAUGAAAUCAAUA